rnacentral:tRNA from 1 species
GGGCAGGUGGCAGAGCUGGUCGAAUGUACCUGACUCGAAAUCAGGCGUACGUGAAUAGCGUACCGUGGGUUCGAAUCCCACCCUGCCCGCCA